CGGGAUGUGGCGCAGGUGGUAGCGCGCGGAGUUUGGGACUCUGAGGUCGCAGGUUCGAAUCCUGUCAUCCCGA
rnacentral:tRNA from 2 species